GAUGAACGCUGGCGGCGUGCCUAAUACAUGCAAGUCGAGCGAAUGGAUUAAGAGCUUGCUCUUAUGAAGUUAGCGGCGGACGGGUGAGUAACACGUGGGUAACCUGCCCAUAAGACUGGGAUAACUCCGGGAGACCGGGGCUAAUACCGGAUAACAUUUUGAACCGCAUGGUUCGAAAUUGAAAGGCGGCUUCGGCUGUCACUUAUGGAUGGACCCGCGUCGCAUUAGCUAGCUGGUGAGGUGACGGCUCACCAAGGCAACGAUGCGUAGCCGACCUGAGAGGGUGAUCGGCCACACUGGGACUGAGACACGGCCCAGACUCCUACGGGAGGUAGCAGUAGGGAAUCUUCCGCAAUGGACGAAAGUCUGACGGAGCAACGCCGCGUGAGUGAUGAAGGCUUUCGGGUCGUAAAACUCUGUUGUUAGGGAAGAACAAGUGCUAGUUGAAUAAGCUGGCACCUUGACGGUACCUAACCAGAAAGCCACGGCUAACUACGUGCCAGCCGCCGCAGUAAUAC
rnacentral:rRNA from 1 species